GCUGCCAUGGACUCCAGGCUCCUCUGCUGUGUGGCUCUUUGUCUCCUGGGAGCAGGCCCAGUGGAUUCUGGAGUCACCUAGACCCCAAACUAUGAUCAAAUCAAGACAACAGCAAGAGACACUGAGAUGUUCCCUUGUCUCUGGACACCUCUCUGUGUCCUGGUACCAACAGGCCCUGGGCCAGGGCCAUCAGUUCCCAGCUGAGUAUUACAGAGGGGAAGAGAGAGGAAAAGGAAACAUCCUAGAUAGAUUCUCAGGUCAACAGUUCAGUGACUCUAGCUCUGAGCCUGACUUGAGCUCCUUGGAGCUGACGGAGGUGGCCCUGUAUCUCUGUGCCAGCAGCCAAGAUGCAGCCCUGCAUGAUCAGCUGCCUCUGGUACAAAAACAUUCCUGCCCUAGCUCAGGAAGCGGCCGCGAGGGCGUUGACUGCCAGCCAGCCAGUCCCAGGGCCUGGUAA